rnacentral:rRNA from 1 species
UCUUUUAGUUUAAAUUUGAAGUCUGGCCUGCCCACUGGUAUAAUUAAAUGGCCGCGGUAUUUUGACCGUGCUAAGGUAGCAUAAUCAUUAGUUUUUUAAAUGGAAGCUAGAAUGAAGGGUUGGAUGAAAAAAAUUCUGUCUUUAUUUUAAUUAUAUAACUUUAUUUUUAAGUUAAAAAGCUUAAAUUUGUUUAGAAGACGAGAAGACCCUAUAGAGUUUAAUAAAAUAAAUUAUUUUAUAAUAUAGAAUUUUAAAUUAAGAUAAUAUAUUUAUUUAAUUGGGGUGAUUUGAAAAUUAAAUAAACUUUUUAUUUUAUAAUAUAUUGAUAAAUAAAUUUAUGAUCCAUUAUAUUGAUUAUAAGAUUAAAUUACCUUAGGGAUAACAGCGUUAUUUUAUUAGAGAGUUCAAAUCGAUAAUAAAGAUUGCGACCUCGAUGUUGGAUUAAAA